rnacentral:rRNA from 1 species
AUGGCUCUCACGCCGCACCCGCCACUCCAGCUCCGCACGCCCCCCUCCCCCCCCGCGGUCGCCGUGGCCCACCAGCGUCGUGUGCUCCUCUCGCCGCGCCGCACUCGUUCCUGCUGUUGCUGCGCCGGUGCCGACGUGGGUAAGGUGUGGGCGAGGCGGGCGUACCGGUACGACGAGAUCGAGCCGAGGUGGCAGGCGCGCUGGGAGGAGCACCGCACGUUCCGCACCUCGGACGCCUCCAGGCCCAAGGGCUACAUCCUCGGCAUGUUCCCUUACCCAAGUUUUUAUGCUUCAGAUCGCUUCCUCCAUGACACCCCGAUCCGGGCGGCGGCAGCAGCGAUGGCAUCGACAAUCGACUGUGCCUAA